AUACUAAUGAUUUAUCUAUAUUUCUAUCUGUUACCGCUACUGAAUAAUUUGCACUUAUUAUAAAUUUAAAUUUUUGGUAUAUUAGAUUUCCUUUUACGGCAGUUAUUAUGCUUUUUUCUAUAGGUUUUAUAAUUCUAUCGUCUGCUAAAUAUAAUUCUAUUGGUGUAUCUAUUCCUUCUCUAAAACAUGCUUUUAUUAAUAUCUCUGUACCUCCAAGGUGUACAUAUUUUAUUGGAUCUCCUUUACUUUUUAUAUCAUUUAUUUCUUUAUUAAUUAUUCUUUUUGUUACCAGUGGUAUACUAGCUUUUCCUUUUGCAUAUCUGCAAUCUAUUACAUGUUCUUUUUGGCAUACUACAUAAUAUUCAUCUUUUUUCCUAGUAAAAAUAUUUUUUAUUGUUGGUAUUUUAAAUAUUUUAUCUACACUUAAAUCUAAUUCUUUUCCUUUUAUUUCAUCAAAUAUAUUACUGUCAAAUAUUAUUUUUUGUUCCGUUCCUUCAUCAUUUAAAUAUUCUUCCUUUGUUAUUAUUUUUAUAUCUUCUUCAGUCAUUUGAUUCAUCUAUUUCGCUAUCUAGUUCAUUAUCUGUUUCAUUUUCUGAAAUUUCAUAUAUACUAUCUUCACUUUCUAAUUCAUAAUCUAUAUAAUCUAUCUGCAUGUAUUCGGUAUUUUCUAUUUUUAUUUCUGAUAUUUGUUUAUUUUUUGGAUUUUUAGGUAAUUUACAAUCUCUAGCUAAAUGUCCUAACUUUCCACAAUUAUAACAAGUACAUUCUUUUAUAGAUUUCUUUUUUCUAUAUGGUCUUUUAUGUUUAUAAUUUUUUACAUAGUAUCUUUUUCUUGGUUUUUUAUAUUUAUAUUUUGAUUUUUUAUAUUUCUUAUAUUUCUUAUGUCUUUUUCUUUUCUUAUAAUAUCUUUCUUCGCAUCCAAAUUGGGGUGCUAUUUUAUUUUUGCAACAAGCUAAAUUUCUUAUUAAUGUUUUUUCCAUUUUUAAUUCUUCUCUAUAUUUUUCACAUAAGUUUCUAUACCAUUGUUGUAAAUAUUUUAUUCUUGCUCCUAACGUAUCUACUAUUUUUGCUUCUUCCCAACUUUUUAUUAUUUUCGAACUAAAUGGCUCGGGUAAUUUAUUAAAAUAUAAUUUUCUUAUUUCUUUACUUUCUUCUAUACUAUAUGCUCCUUUGUAAUAAUAUUCUUUAAAUGCGCAAGUAUAUUCAUCUAUAUAACACAUAUUACAUAUUGCUAAUUUUAACAUUAAAUUUCUAUUUGUAUCUUUUUCUUCAUUUUGUUCUUCUUCGAUUGUUGUCGUACUACCAAAUUCAUCUUUUAUAGCUGUUUCAUAUUUUUUUAAUAAUUCUAUAGGUGUUAGUUUAGUUGUUGUCGAUGAUGUUCCUUCUAUAGGUUUAUUAGUUCUUAAUACUUUUUUGCUAUUUUCGGUU
rnacentral:lncRNA from 1 species